UACCAGCUCUCCGAGUGGUAGGGAUGAUUAUUGGGCUUAAAGCGUCCGUAGCCGGCUUAGCAAGUCUCCUGUUAAAUUCAGCGACCUAAUCGUUGAGCCGCGGGAGAUACUACUAGGCUAGGAGGCGGGAGAGGUCAACGGUACUUCCGGGGUAGGGGUGAAAUCCUAUAAUCCCGGGAGGACCACCAGUGGCGAAGGCUGUUGACUAGAACGCGCUCGACGGUGAGGGACGAAAGCUGGGGGAGCGAACCGGAUUAGAUACCCGGGUAGUCCCAGCUGUAAACGAUGCGAGCUAGGUGUUGGGGUGGCUACGUGCCACUUCAGUGCCGCAGGGAAGCCAUUAAGCUCGCCGCCUGGGGAGUACGGCCGCAAGGCUGAAACUUAAGGAAUUGGCGGGGGAGCACCACAAGGCGUGAAGCUUGCGGUUU
rnacentral:rRNA from 1 species